AAUGAACGUUGGCGGCGUGGAUUAGGCAUGCAAGUCGAGCGAGAACCCCGCAAGGGGGGACAGCGGCGAAAGGGACAGUAAUGUGUAGAUUAUCUGCCCUCAGGUCCGGGAUAGCUGCGGGAAACUGCAGGUAAUACCGGAUAACAUCUCCGGAUCAAAGGUGUGAUUCCGCCUGAGGAUGAGUCUGCAUCCUAUUAGCUAGUUGGUGGGGUAAUGGCCUACCAAGGCAUUGAUGGGUAGCAGGUGUGAGAGCACGACCUGCGUCAUUGGGACUGAGACACUGCCCAGACACCUACGGGUGGCUGCAGUCGAGAGUCUUCGGCAAUGGGCGCAAGCCUGACCGAGCGACGCCGCGUGUGGGAUGAAGGCCUUCGGGUUGUAAACCACUGUCAGAGGGGAUGAAAUGCAGGUGGGUUCUCCCAUCUGUUUGACAUAGCCUCAGAGGAAGGACGGGCUAAGUUCGUG
rnacentral:rRNA from 1 species